rnacentral:lncRNA from 1 species
CGCUCAGUCCGAGAGCGCAGCCCCUUAGGCGCCCAGUUGGAGUCCCAGGAGCCCGGCUUUGAGCCGGGGUGUCUACUGCGCUGCGAGAGGGGGGCAUCGCCUACGGAGGGGCCGGCACCCUCAGCACGCUGUCCUCCCAGGGCUGCGCGCGUGUGCCGCCGCUGGCAGGAGGCCGCUUCCCAACCCGCGCUCUGGCACACCGUGACCCUGUCGUCCCCGCUGGUCGGCCGGCCUGCCAAGGGCGGGGUCAAGGCGGAGAAGAAGCUCCUUGCUUCCCUGGAGUGGCUUAUGCCCAAUCGGUUUUCACAGCUCCAGAGGCUGACCCUCAUCCACUGGAAGUCUCAGGUACACCCCGUGUUGAAGGUGAGAGCUCCAGGCUGUCCUGCACAUCAGCUGUGACACUCUGGGACUGUUCAGUACUCUAGGAAGUGGGUCAGGCACCUUGGGGGCCCAACGCUGCUCCGUGGGGAUGUCUGCCUGCCUGCCUGGUUCUCUUUUCCUGCUGUUUCCUCCAGCAGGGAGGUAUCAGAGGCGGGGACACCCAAGUAGGCCUGGCAUGGGCAGAAAGGAGGUCACAGCUAAGGCGGUAGAGUGGGGUUGGCACCAGCCACUUGUCUGUUUCCCUUGUGGAUCUUAGCCUGUCGUCUCCCAACCCCAGCUGCCCCUCUGUCUCCCCGCAGCUGGUAGGUGAGUGCUGUCCUCGGCUCACUUUCCUCAAGCUCUCCGGCUGCCACGGUGUGACUGCUGACGCUCUGGUCAUGCUAGCCAAAGCCUGCUGCCAGCUCCAUAGCCUGGACCUACAGCACUCCAUGGUGAGCCCUGUGUCCCAAGGGGCCCUGAAAAAACCCAGGC